UUCAUUUAUACCAUCUAUUAUUAUCAUUCAGUAGUAACUAAAAACCCAAUUGUUUCCUCCUGCUACUUAAAAUUUUGAAAUAUUGAUUGAUGUUUAGUGUUCUUCAAAUUUUCCAGGGUUACAAUGUCAAGUCGAUGGGCUAAACGAGGGAGAGGUACUUUGAAAGCAUAUUUCCAAGCUCAAAAACCUGAUCAAAUAGAAGAAGGAUCAACAAGUAAUGUUCAAUUUACAUCUCCAUCAAAUGAUAGAAAUCAUGAAGUACCGAUUGUAAACCACGAACAUGAAGAAGUUGGUGGCCAAAGAACUGAAUUUGAAGCAAUGAGUACUCAAUGUGUACCUGAAGUUGUCGAAAUGCAUAUGUUUCUUCAUUUGAACGGCCAGGGGUGAUCCUUAGUUAUUUUCACAACCAACAAUUGACUUUAGUGGUAGUUUAGUCAGGCAUCAGCAGAAAAUAGACAACAUGUGGUAGCGCGCACAGGUAUGAAUAUCAUAUUAUGUUGUUUGUUCUUUGUUUGCCGAAUUUUUUUUUAGCCCCCCAUUCAGAAUUCCUGGCUCCGCCACUGUAAUUAUCCUAGAGAUUUUUUUUCUCUGUUUUCUCUUUGGUUAGUGAUAAUAAAAUCAUCCCAGCUGCUUAUUCUCAAAAUCCUAGACUCACUUCAAAAUCAGGCUGCUUGCAACAGGGUCCUUCUGGAUGUUCGAGUUUUUUUUAUUAAAAGCUCAACUUGCAGGUAUUACUGCUCCUGCUGUUCGUGUUUUUGUUAUUUCAAACACUGCGAACAAACUUUUAUUAUGUUUUGAACUUUCACUUCGUGCGUCUUAGUAGUUCUUGAACUGGUUCAUUGGUAAUAAUGAGUUGUUAUAUUGCAACUUCUCAUGAUUAUCUUUCAUGGAUCAAGAAGGCCAUUAUUGAUAUAGACAUGUACUCCCUCCACUUCAAAAAGAUGGGCUGGUUUCUUGUACAAAUUACACAGGAAACGAGCUUAUCUUUUUGAAACAGAGGGAAUACAUGUUUGGCAGGUGACAUGAUUAACAAUUGAAUACGUACAGUUUGAGGAUUCGAAUGGACCAAAACUAGUUGCUAUCCAAGACUUCUACUAUUAUUAUAGAAUAGAUGAGUGCACUGUUUUGCAAACGCUAGUUUUUCACUUUUCUCUCCAAGUUUGUUGAAUUUUUGGGGAAAAAAUGUAUUUACGUAAAGCAAAGAGUAAGAAAUAUGUCGAAAAGCAAAGAUUUGAUACUUUUGUUUAUGCUGGUUGCGUAGACUUCUGUUUCCAUGUUUUAAUGUUGCUUCAAAUCAGAAGUACGUUUGACAUUUUAGCCGUCUCCAUGACUCUCAUAUGUGUAUUUCCGGGUACAUUAAUAUUCAAAAUGGCAUGGCAAGACAUGGCAAUCUAUAUCAAGGCAUUGGUAAAUAUUAGGGGGUUUCCUCCACUUAAUAGUGCUUUCGAUCUGCCUCUGGGGUCGAUUGUCUAGUAAGAUCGAUGUAACUAGGGAACUGUACCAAAUAGGGUUGGGUAUUGUAUUGAACGUCCCACUGCGGCAUCAGGAGAUCUAAAUCUAGCCUAAUGAAGUAACAUGUUUUGCCGGAUUCACAUGGUGAAGAAACCAAUGAAAGAAACAUGGAAACAAUGGGAAUUGUAGAUCAUCUUAAUAUAACUGCUCU